AAUGAUAGCAUAAACUAGUUCUAUGCACACUUACGUCAGUUGCAAUUUCAUUGUUGUCAAAGCACCUGGGAUUGAAGUUGUAUUAUUAAUUUUUGUACUUUUCGUGUCAUUGCAUAUGCAGUAGGAAGAGAUUCUCUGAGUACCAAGCAGAGACUUGGAGGUCAGAAAACCAAAAAAAAAAGUCUACAAGAAAUACAAUAUUCGUGGAAUAUACAAUGCUGCAAGUAGGACUGGGGGAGUUGUGCCCCAAGGCUUCAGUAGGAUCUGUCAAAGGUGAUGCAAGCUCGUCAAGAUGAAAGUAGAGAUAUUAAAUGAGUGCGCUUCAGCCUUGGGAGACUAAGGAGCACCAAGCAGAGACUUGGUGGUCAAAAAACUGGAAAACAGUUCCACGAUAAGUACAACAUUCGUGAGCCAGUUUGAGUCUGGUUCUUAGCUGCAUGAUGAAAAUGGCUUCAAAACUUGAGAUUAGGUUAUUUCUUAAUCAAAGAUUUGUUGUCAUUAUGUUGGUUUUUCAAUUUUAUUACUCUUAAUGAGGAUUGAUAAACAAGGCCAUGACUGGCUUUUGGAUUCCGUUCAAUGGAAAUAUUUGACCAAAUCCUUGUCAUUUUUCAUAGAAGUGAAUGCUACACCCUGGUGAACUAAUACAUGUGUGUGCUACAUUGCUGUCUUCC